GACGAACGCUGGCGGCGUGCCUAAUACAUGCAAGUUGAGCGCUGAAGGUUGGUACUUGUACCAACUGGAUGAGCAGCGAACGGGUGAGUAACGCGCGGGGAAUCUGCCUUUGAGCGGGGGACAACAUUUGGAAACGAAUGCUAAUACCGCAUAAAAACUUUAAACACAAGUUUUAAGUUUGAAAGAUGCAAUUGCAUCACUCAAAGAUGAUCCCGCGUUGUAUUAGCUAGUUGGUGAGGUAAAGGCUCACCAAGGCGAUGAUACAUAGCCGACCUGAGAGGGUGGUCGGCCACAUUGGGACUGAGACACGGCCCAAACUCCUACGGGAGGCAGCAGUAGGGAAUCUUCGGCAAUGGACGAAAGUCUGACCGAGCAACGCCGCGUGAGUGAAGAAGGUUUUCGGGUCGUAAAACUCUGUUGGUAGAGAAGAACGUUGGUGGGAGUGGAAAGCUCAUCAAGUGACGGUAACUACCCAGAAAGGGACGGCUAACUACGUG
rnacentral:rRNA from 1 species